GGCGGCAUAGCCAAGUGGUAAGGCAGAGCUCUGCAAAAGCUCCACUCCCCGGUUCAAAUCCGGGUGCCGCCUCCA
rnacentral:tRNA from 1 species